GGCGGAUGUAGCCAAGUGGAUCAAGGCAGUGGAUUGUGAAUCCACCA
rnacentral:tRNA from 4 species